CCUGCCUCAGCUUCCUGAGUAGCUAGGAUUACAGACCUGAGCCACCAGGCUCAGCCUAAGUCCACUUUUGUGUCCAG
rnacentral:miRNA from 1 species